rnacentral:rRNA from 1 species
GACGAACGCUGGCGGCGUGCUUAACACAUGCAAGUCGAACGAUGAAGAAGAGCUUGCUCUUCGGAUUAGUGGCGAACGGGUGAGUAACACGUGACUAACCUGCCCCUUUCUCUGGGAUAACGCUUCGAAAGGAGUGCUAACACCGGAUACUCACAUCGAGGCACAUGCCUUGAUGUGGAAAGUUUUUCGGAAAGGGAUGGAGUCGCGGCCUAUCAGCUUGUUGGUGAGGUAACGGCUCACCAAGGCGACGACGGGUAGCCGGCCUGAGAGGGCGACCGGCCACACUGGGACUGAGACACGGCCCAGACUCCUACGGGAGGCAGCAGUGGGGAAUAUUGCACAAUGGGCGAAAGCCUGAUGCAGCGACGCCGCGUGAGGGAUGAAGGUCUUCGGAUUGUAAACCUCUUUCAGUAGGGACGAAGCGAAAGUGACGGUACCUAAAGAAGAAGCACCGGCUAACUACGUGCCAGCCGCCGCUGUAACAC